AGUCCCGCUUCCCUGGGAUGUGGGGACUUCAGUAUGGGAGGGGACCAGUCUGCGGCUGCUUGAGGCCUCACCAGAGCAGGGCUGGUUUCUGGUGAGUCAUUUUGAGAACUCAUCUCGGUACAAACACGGCCCUGCACCCCAGGGAUGGUUCUUGGGGCCUCGCUGCUGCCUGCUGCUGAAAUGUGUAAAUCCCUGCCCAUGAAAUGAACAAACGCUGCCCUGUAGCCCUGUGCAUCCAGCAUGCGGGAGCUGCUCUGUCAGUGCGAUGGCUGCAGGCUCUGCCUGUGUCCUCGUGGGUCUGAGGAUCAAGGUGGUUGUUUUGGGGUGAAAGCAGCACGUUUUCCCUCUUUUCUUCACUGCUGCUUUUUCUCCUGCCCACGUGCCGCAGGAGCUCCCUGAGCCCCUCCCCAUGGCCCUGUGCAGGGCUCCAUCGCCUUCAUCACACCGAGGCGACUGCCGGUAAUCAGGAAGGAAGUGGUUUGUGGAAGGGUGACAGCAAUGAGCUGGUUCAGAAGUGUGGCUAUGGCUUGAGGUUUCUGCUAUGGAAAGCUGACUGAUUUCCACCGGAAGUGAGGCCACAAGAAAAAAAGAAGUCCAAGAGAUGGCUCUGCUGCUGACCUUCUGACAUAGGUGCUGGGAAGGGGCCGAGGGCUCGGUGACAUGGGUGUACCCACUGCUUGCCUCCUGUUCCAUUGGGACGCACUUCUAUCUCCUACUUUCAGGGUUCCUUUGGCUCUUCCCCAUUGGGGCCAUAGGUUUCUGUAAAGGCUUUGUCUGUGUAGCCCGCAAAUAUCAUCAUCUAUCACACCAAAUCUCCUUCUUAGUUUUUUUGUGGGCACAAACACCCGCAAACGAUACGGCUUUGCUAUGGGGGAAAUGCUCAGAAAGAGAAUCCAAGUUCUCUUCCUUUGUGCAAAGAGAGGGGAAUGUAUAAAGGAGCGAUGAAAGGCCCCAGUGAUGCCUCUGUAGGGCUGGAAAGGCAGACCCCAGCAGCAGAUGAGGCCCUGUGAAUUCCUUCCCUCAGUGCAAUUGAGUCUCAUGGGUGGCAGGAUGCAAUUUGUGUUUGAGUUUGGCUUUCUAGUGAAACUCUUGGCUUGUCACUCUCAAGGCACAACAAGCUCCUUAAAUAGCAGGCUAAAUUUCUCCACCUAGCCUAAAAAAAUAAAACAGUACUCUGCCAAAUGAAAGGACAUAUUCCAGUAUUCUUUGUUGUUGCAACAAAUUGGGUGGAUACUGUCAGACUUCUGCGUUCUGGGAAUACUUCCAGAGCCUCUCUUUGUGUGCAAGUCGGUUACCAUGUAAUUGUCAACUUAAAUUGCAGUGUUGGAUAACUCCGCUUCGGCUGUAGCUAAUCUGCCUCGCUGGUGCCUUCGCCCACAGCGUGUGGGCACAGAGCUGCCCUGCUCCUCCUGCGUGGGGCUGCGGGCACCCAUGGGUGGGGGUCAGUGUCGUGUCAUGUUGGGUCGCUGUUGCAGUGGGGCAGUGUUGCAUGGGAGCGAUACCACGUUGGGGUGAUGUUGCAUUGGAGUCCUUGUGCUUUGGGUGAUGGCCUCUUGGCUAAAGCCCUGCCCGGCACUGAGAGGUUCAGAUCCUGCUGGUGUGGUUGGGGCUGUCCCAUGUGUGGCCCCACGCCCCACGUGCUGCUGUCUGCGGUGGAGGAGAGAUAAAAGGUCGCUUUCGAUGCGGUGGGAAUCGCGUUCACCCUCUUCCUUCCCCUUUCAAAUUGGCAGCUCGUUUUGUUGUGUUUGUUUUAGCCUGAAUCCCAAUGACAAUUAGUGCUAGAAGGCUAGAUUAAGCUGUUUUUACUUGUUUUCUUUCUCACUUUGAUUUCCACCUUCUCCAAAUUCUUAAUCCUACUGAAUAUUUCAUCUCUUGUAACUCUGUCAAUUGAAAGUCCCCCAGCGGGACGCACGGGACCAGCACUAUUAGAGCUGCUUUGCUGCAGCUAAUGCUGCUCAGCGCUGGGCUGAGUUUGUUGCACAAUUUAUUUCAGACGAGCAAACCACAGCAUCCGCUGCAGCAUGAACUGCACGAGCAGCCUGGGAACGGGGCUGUGCAGCAAACGGGAACUUUGAUGGCUGAUGAGAAAGCAGAGCACCCCUUGUUCCCAGCCCGCUCCUCCUCCCAUUGCACGCAGUGGUUUCAGGUGGGAUCCUCCCUCAGCACUGUGGUCCCACCGCAGCCAUAGGGAAUGUGCUGCUGGAGUUGGCUGCUGCUGGGGGUCCCUCCUGCUGGGUUGGUGUGGGGUGCAGAGCUGAGGAUGUUGCCCCACUGUUCACUGUUCCCCAGCAGUAAUCACACUUGUGGCUUCCCCCCCCCCACCCAUAACAGUGCUUCCUGGGAUGCUCUCAGGGCUGGCUUUUCAUUUUUCAGUAGGGAACUUCGCUCAUGUCAAAAAGGCAUUUCCCAGCUUGAACUGCUCUGGGCCAGCUCUGCUCACAGCUGCCCAUCCUAAUGGACAUGUUCUCACUUCUGCUGCCUGGAGAAGAGCUGUGUGUGGGGUCCAUGGGGUGCACUGCCUUUUACCCCAUAGAGCACUCAACAAUACCCUUAGCAGUGCACAGGGACGUUCCCCCAGGAGGAAUCAAGCUGCUCACGCAUCCCACCACCUCUGACACGAAUCAGGGCUGCAGCAGCUCUGCCAGCAGCUCACCAACACUCACAAAGCUUCAGCGCUCCUCACCUGCUCUGUCUGCUCCUUAUCGAGAGCCCCAAAGUGACUGCAGCCCGAAUGGAAGUGCCAGCAACCGGCUCCAAGUGCUGCUGCCAAGGGAGCGGCAGUGGCAUAUGUUUGCUCUCAGAGCAAGGUUACAGUCUCGACUCAUUAGAAGCUCCUCUCCUCCUUUUGGGGCAUAUGUGGAAGUGCUGGGUGCCAAGCUGGCAGAGCGUGGCGGAGCAGGGAGGGCUCUGUGAGGUGCUGGUGUUUGCACUUCUGUCCAUGGUUGAUCUGCACUGUGAGCAGCACAGUGCUUGGUGCUGGUGCAAUGCUCCAUAGGCAGCUCCCAGUGCUCCUUCACUGCAUAGGUGUGACUCCGUGUCCAGGUUGGCUCACAGGUCAUUGCCACAGCAAUCGGAGCUGUGUGGGCACAGCACAGAGCUGGGUCGUUCUGCACAUCCCUCAGCAAUGGCACGAUGGCUUUGCAGGAUCUGCAACCCAUAGUAAUGGCUCAUUGCUGAACCAUAAGUGGUCGUACCGUCCUUGGGAUUUAUUGCAGGCUGAGGGAUUAAUUUCCUGAAAUAUACAGUCAUGAUGUUGAGGUUAAAUUAAGAUCUCAUUCAAAGGGGUUCUUUUUAUCAUAUUUAAUUUGUAACCCUUUUUUCCGCAGCCAUUUUACAGCUCUUCCUCCCCCUCCCUUCUAUGUUCGGUGUCAUGUUUCCAGGAAGAAUCUUAUUUCAUGCAGACUAAUAGCAUUUUUUAGUACAACCUUUUACGGUUCUCCCUGUUCGAGUUUCUCCUGUCUCGGUUGCUCGUACACAACAAGGUCUUAAAUCCUCCCUUAGAAAAUAGAGACGUUGAUGCAAAAGCAACCAGAACUGCUGGCAGAGCCCAAAUCCAUCCCUUCUCUUUCCCCACACCCCCCUCCAGUUUACUGUAACUGAAAGCCCUUUUACUUCAGAGCAGAGCACGUUGAUAGGGCGCAUGUCGGGUAAAUCCAACAGGACAUUAUUACGCUGGGUGAUGUCUAUAGAGUGGGUCUGGUUCUGUACUGGCCUCACUUUGCCCUCUGUUGUGUUGUGAGAUGGACAGAUGGAUGGACUCAAGGCUGGAGGAUAAGCAGCCUGAAAUCUUGCCUGCUUUGCAGAGGCUCCUUGGUGUGUGGGGCAGGCACACCUGCAUGCAAGGAGCAGCUCAGCCCGCAGCCCUGCCUCGUGCCACCAUCUGCUGGACAUCUUGAGGCUGAUUGCGGAGGUCAGGACUCAACUGGAAAGACCGCAACGGGUUGCUGACUGGCAUCCACGGCCCAGAUAAGAUAAAAACAACUGAUGACAGCGGGGAAGUGAAACAGUCAUCUCAGCACUUGGAUUAAUGCCUGGCGAGAAGGAAGGGAAAAAAACGAGGAGGGCCGUCAGGGAGGGGUAGGGGGUGGAAUACGGAUGAGAAUAGAAACUCUGGAAAAAAAGCUAUCAGGAGGCAGCAGAGCUGGGUGUUAAAUAUUUAUGAAUUAGCAGCCGUCGUGCCCUGCCUGCGCCGUGUGGGUGCUGCCAGGGGCUGGGGGGGAGGUGACUGCGUGGCCGUGGCCGGGUGGCAGCAGCACCACGCAGAACAAAUGCAGGUGAAGAGGAGAAGGGUAAAUGAGGCGCUACAGGAGCCGCUAUGCCAAAAAUUCUGCUGAAGAGCAUCGGGGUAAUUAAAUCAUAAUUGCUUCUUGCUCAGCUGGAGUGACAUUGCGAGUGGCUGAAGGUGGUGAGGAGAGGAAGGGGAAGUUUCGCUGCUGUUCUGCUUGCAAUGGGGCAGCCCCAGACCUGCUGGGCCCCCAACCCUCUGCCCCCACCCUCUGCUCGGGGCUGGGUGCUGCCUCCCGCUGCACUCCACUCUGUGCUGUCCUGGCACAGCCCACGUAUGUGCCAUCCCUGGGUGUGAGGAGCUGAUGUGCCGAACCUGAGAGCUUUGGAGGAGCCAUUCCUAACCGUGAGACAAUUAGCCUGCAAAUCCCGCAAGCAGUUAAUUACACUGCGGAGUUGUGUAAUGUUUAGGGGGCUGAUGUGACCUGGCAGCAUGAAGGACACUUGGAGCUCAAGUUUAAAAACCCGAACCUUCCCAGUAUGUGGCUCCAGGGCAGGUUUUCUCUCCCCCACCAUAACAGCCGUGUUGGGAUGAGAGACUCUUUUCAGCUUUGUGGUUCUGAGUUCUGCUGGAGUUUCCUCUUUUCUUUUUGUUUCAAAGUCACAGAAACACGUGGUGCGUUCCACAGUGCGUUGGAAUGAGGUCUUCCUCCUGCACAUGGGUGCAGCUGAGCAGCAGUUCAGUGGUGAUGCUGGGAUGCAGGACAUCCUCAGGCUGUGGGCACUGCUGGGAAUGCAGCUCUGCGGCCCCUUACCAACCACCCCAUCCAUUCUGCUGGGAGCACAAGACAAAACCCAACAUGGUGUUCCCAGUUUCAUGGAAAAGAGCAUCCCUACCGUGGUGAGAUGGAGAAUAGCCAUGCAGGAACCAGUUGUGGGGAGAUCUGACCUUUGGCGCUGUGAGGGAAGGCUGAGCAGGUUAUGCUUCCACCUGCUGUAAUUGUUUCUUCAGUAGCUGUAAGGUGAGUCACGGGGCUGUGGAUGAGCAGUGGGCUGAGGAGCUGCCUGCUGCUGUAGGGCUGGGGAUGCUGCUGCAGACUGCCCAACCUGGGUGCAUCCCCCAAGGAGCUUUGGGAGCGAUCCUUGCUGGAGAACUCAGGAUUUGUGCUCUUACACAAAUGUAUAUGUACAUACUGUUCUCUAACAGGAAUCACCUGUUGCUCCUCCCUUUUCCUGUCACCGUGCAGAUGGUCAUCCCUGCCUGGGAUCCCGGUGGGCACCAUUGGGAGCACUGUGCCCACGGCCGAGCCUGGCACCUGCUGGAAGGCGAUGGGAGGAGGAAAAGGGCUCUGGCGACGCAGACAAUAAAAGUCUUUGCAUUCCACUGAAGUUUCUUGAGCAACUGGCAUUUGCCCAUAAAUGUACUUAAGCAGAAAAUCACCAGAAAAGUGCUAUAAUCUGACAGAUUUUUCACAGGCUUAAAUAUUCAUGAAUUAAAAGAAUUGGCAGAAUUUUCUACAUUAUUAGCUUUCAGCAUGGCUACGGGAGCAGUUGGUGCACUGGCUGCUCUUCAAAAACUAUUAAUCUAGUCUGUCAUCACAGCAGCCAUUUUUUAAUUAGCUACUUUGCUGAACGAUCUGGUGCAGCAGCGAGACUGGAACAUUUACGUGGUAUUAAAGUUUUAAAGGUGCCCCUUUCCAUUUUUAAGCAAAGUUCUGCAACGCAGCAAUAGGGGAAGCGAGGCGGAGGCGGAUUGCUCCGCUCCAAUGGUUAACUGCUGCUUGUAUUUUGGAAAAUCACGGCUUGGAAUACAGAGCUGCUUCUACGAGGAGAAGAAAUUGCGUGAAAUAAAUUGGUUCUCUAAACUGAAGUUCACAGCAUUCCUUCCCCAUGAAAUCAAAAGGAGAUGUUUGGAGCCAAAGCCUUGCGUGCGGAUCUCAUGGAAAAUGAGGGGGCAUGGCACUGCCUGCGGCAGGCAGGAUUUAUUGCUGCCAGUCCCACGGGGAGAUGGCAACGGGUGGGGGAUCUGUGUGACUGUUGAGCUGAGCUCCAUCCUGCUGCUGAGCUCCAGAGGGCUGGGGUGGGCCCUUCCCAGAUUGAGAGGCUGGGGUGAGCUGGCUGUCAUGGGAGCACGGGGCUGUUUGGGGCUGUGCCUCCAGCACUGGUACCCCAUCUUGGCACCGAUACCUCAACCCCGGCAGUGGUACCAAAUCCUCUGCACUGGUACUCAUCCCCAGCUCUUGAGGACUUGCUGGGAGCAGAGCUUGGUCUGUGUUGGCCUCGUGGGGUUUCAUCAGCCCCAAACACAUCACAGGGCUCAGCCCUGAGCUGCUCCUGGCUCCGCAGGGGGAAUUGCUCCCAAACAGCUGGAAUCAACUCCCAGAGCUGGUGUUCAGUGAGCCGUGUGAUCUGGCUUGGAGGGUGGACAGCCCAGUUCCUUCUGUCCCCGCUGUCCUCAGUACUGGCUGAUGGUAGCGAUGCAGGAGCACGUGGGAGGAUGCUCUCAGUCCCCAUCCCAGGUGCUGCAGGGAUCCCACAGUGCAGUCCACAAGGGAACAUGUGGUGAGCUCAGACCCAAGCAUGGUGGCUUGCAGGCACAGAUCUGAGCUUUCCUGAGCCCAGUCCCUCCUGAGUCCUGCUUUGCACUCCAUGCCAGAGCUGCUUCUCUCCUGACUUGUUAUUUGCAUGUGAAAACACAGCAGAAUUAUAUCUUUAUUAUGGUUCUAAGUGUGCUGCUUUUUGGCAUUGGUGGGCACCUCUCUAAUCUCUGCUGCUGGGUCCUACUGAGAUUUCCUUUGGGCACUGUGAUGCCUCUUUCUUGCUGUCUGCAGCCUGAAAAAGGUGUGCUGGAUAUCUAACCUGUCCCUUUCUUUCCCAUUGGCAUUGAAAACAAGUGGUGUAAAGAAACUGAUGGUUCCAAUGCCACUGCAGCACCAUAUAGCAUCCAUGCUGCUGCUCUUCGCGUGCCCUUCUGCCCUCGGAAGCUGUUUCAUAGGAGGUUUCCCUCUUCCUUGCCUUGAUAUUACGGAAGGGAAUGUGCACUGUUUGGCUGCUGUGGAUUUCAUAUCCUGCACAGGGAUCCCAAUGCCUAGGAGAAGUGGAGGGGGAAACCCCACUCUAUAGCUCCCAGGUAGGAAAAAUGGGGAAACAUUCCCAGGAAAACUCUUUUUAGUGCGAUAAUUUUCAUGUGGUUUUCUGGGUUUGGAUUCCUUGGUGGUUUUGUCUCCUAUUGGCCAUUCCACUCCUCCAUUCAGUUCCUUCUACCUUGGGGCUGGGAAGCCCGAAUCUCACCAACCAUCCCUUGUAGGGGUGGCAAUGGGAACAGGGGCAGCCACCGCUGCUGUGCUCCAUGGCUAUGAGUUCUUUUUUAAUCCUUCAUCAUUAUUAAUACGCAGUCACUUAAAUGAGGCACACACCCUUCUUGGCAAUUAUUUGUAAUCGUCCCUUGUGAGUUCUCGAACAAAACACUCUUUAUUAAUACUUAAAGCUUCUAAAAGCAUCGCAGAUCAGAUGGAGAUACUCCAUCCAGCAGGCUGCACCAAGCACUGCAGCCCGUUAAUUAAAUUUGCCAGAUAGGAUUAUUUAUUAGAAAAAUGUGCUCAAGAUGCUCUUUGAAAUGUGGGGCCGUCCCGUGCUUUCUGUGGUGUCAUGCACAGCCCUGCUAUUUACACUGUGGGAAAAGUGAGCUCUCGCAUUUGGAUUCAAAUGAACAUCUGAUUGAAAUGAGUGCAUUCGUGGAGGACGGCCAUGCUGAGAUCCUGCUGCACGUGGUUCUGCGUGGUUGGAAGGAGCAGGGGAGGAGGAGAGUGCUGCAAAGGGAACAGAUGGGGUGAUGGGUGGGAUGGGGCUGGGAUGGCUCUGCCCUGCCCCAUGGAUAGCACUGCUGCUGGGGCUGCUCAGUGCGGAGCCCCUUGGUGUGAGCUCCAGGAGACCCAAAGGAACUUGCUGCCUAUUAAAAAAGAAGUCAGCCUUAUCUCUCCAUGUUUGAACAAUGGGCCAUAUGUGUUUCUUCUCAUUAAAGCUGUUUUUUCUAAAGGAACUCCACUGCAGAAACAAGCUUGGAAGCCGACGUAAUUAAAGGCUUCUUUUUCCCCAGCCGUGGUCCUCUGGUCUUUGAAGAGUGCGGGGAUCCCUGUGGAAUGCUCUGAACUCUGCAAUAUUUUGAUAGCUGCAAUAACAUAAUCAAAAGAUGCUUUCAUGACGAGAGCACCUUGUGCGCAUUGCAGCCGCCCCGCUCCCCCCGCACACAGGCAGCUUCACGGAUCCCAGAGCUGCAUGCAGAUAUGAGCUGGAUUCCUGUGUGUCUCCUCCAGGGAUGGAGCUCUGCAGCCAUCGCAAUGAGCUGUGGGAGAGGAGCAGUGUUCUCCUGCACGGCUGCUCCACAGCCACACGGCUGUGUGAUCCCCAUCCACAAACCCUGCACAGGAGCAGGGUGGGGGUACAGCCCCAGGGCAGGGGCAGGGACCUGGUGCUGAAUGGCCCCAAGCUUUACUUUUCUUCCCUUCAAAUAGCUGCUCUCCUCCACUGGACGUGCCACCAGGUUGCUGCUCAUUCUGAAGCCCUCAUUAAAACACUCUAAUUCCACACUUUUGUUAGAUUACUGGCUCAUCUGCUCGCAGGAAUCCUUCUCUGUGCAUCAGCCAUUGAAUUCCUCACUCUGUUCCUGCCAUCCCUUGGAGCCACAGCACCAUGCGUGUCCACUCAACCCGAGCCUUGGAAGUGGGGCCUUUAUGGAAUGAGGAAAUUGGGGCAUUCCUGCAGUCAUCAAGCUGGAAUCAUUAAGCUUUCUUCGGGCCAAAUUAGGAUUUGGAGUCCCGCUGUCCUUCUUGCUCCCUAAUUGUGUGCACUCAGCCCUGGCUGUCCUGGGGCUCUGAUGUUGGAUACUGUCCAGGGUCCCAUUUUAUCCCUGCAGACCCCAAGCCCACUGCUACCCUCCCCUCUGCCCCAUCUCUCCAGUUGUCCUUCAUAGAGGUGCACAGACAGCAUCCUGCAUGCUCCAUCCCUUCCUGCCCCCCAGGAAAGCAGCAGUAAUUCACCUGAAUGAACUCAGCCCCAGCACCCUCCUGCCCUAGAGACCCCCAAAAGCUGCAGUGCCACCCUUUCUCACCUCCUCGCACUUUGCAUGCUUUGCAGAGGGCUGGAUGGGGGCAGGACCUGCUGAGACUGAUGGGACACACAGUGGGCAUCCCCCUCUGCUGUGCUGCACUGGGCUGAUGGCACCGUGCAUGCUCCCAGCAAUCCAUGGUGCAAGAAAAGAGCAGAAUUUGCAUUACUGAUCUGAUUUCACAGAAUUUACCCCUUUUUCAGCGUGUGUGCAUGCACUUCCCCACGCUUUCUGAGCUUCCUGCCGCUCAGCUGACAGUGCUGACUUUCCUCCCACUCAAACCACCAUAGCACGACAGCCAGCGGGCGGGGGAUGGAUCACAGCUCACACAGUUUGGGGAGCAAAAUUCGCUUUCAUCAUUCAUGAUUACUUCCCCCAAACCAUCUGAAUCCCAAUGUAUCUAAAACCCGUGUUUCUCCCUGGUCAGCACUCUGGGAGCGAUGCUUUGGGGUCAGUGUGGCCACAGACCCACAGUGGUGGCAGCUGUGGGCACCAUCCACAAUGAAGCAGGAUGCAAGUGGGGUGACAGCUUAGCCAAGGGGGGGUGGCACGGCUCUCGGUGCUGGCUGCAGUUUCAGCAGCAGCUGAAAUGGGCUGGGUGACACCCUGAUUUAUUUCAGGGCUUAUUGAGGGAACCCAUCCAUCCUGGAGCUGAGCACCCCAGCGGCUGCAGACCCCACUGCAAAUGUCCCUAUCUCCAUCCCAUUGCCCAGCACUGAGCCCUGUGCACCGGCUCAAGGUUGGCACUGCAUCCCUCCAAUAUGAACCCUCCGUAUUCUUCAGCCUGUUAUCAAUUUUCCCACAAUGCGCUCGCAUGAUCCUCUCUCAGACUUAACCACAUGGCAACCACAUCACAUAAUGCAAUUUCUGUUCUGAGAUUAUUCAUAUUUCUUUUCCUCUAUUGUUGCUUUGCCAAGUUUUUCUUCUAAUUCUGAGAAACCGAAUUUAAAAGAGCAGUGUCUCCGGCACAAGGACAGCCGAGGCGGCAGCGCCGGCGGAUCAGCCCGACAAGUGCGUUCACAGGAGUCAGAGUGGGGGGAGCUGUGAAGAAGCCAUACAAAAACCCCUCCAAAUGUCUAUUUUUAUUUUAUUUCAUUCUCUGGAAUGUCUCAUCGCAUGAAAUAACAAUACAUCCUGGAGAGGACUGCAGACAGGCUCCAGUGAGAGGGCAGAUGAGGAGAGGAUUGUUUUUGCAGUGGGUUUUCAUACGCAAUCCGUCAUGAACGCCUUUUCCCAAUGGAAGGGAUGGAGGAGGGAUGCGAGGGGAUGGGAGCACCUCCUAAUUAAUUGCCCUGGGAGCAGCCAACUGAUGGGGUUCUGCACUCAGAGCUGUUGUCCCUCAAGGUGCCGGCAGAGACAUGGGAUGCAUGGGCAGCAGUGGAGGAGUGGGGGCUCAGGCUCCCCCAGGGCUUCGGGCUUGCAGAUUGGUUUUGGUCCUCUUGCUUUUGAAUGAGGGUGUUAUUUGGCCCCAGGUUCCCCACUUUGCAUCUCUUUUCUGAUGGAGUCGGCCUACCUUCAUUUUCCCUUCAUUUCUGCAUCUUUUAAUUCUUGAGUCAUCAGCCAUGCUGGCCAGUUUAGCAUAAGAAAUGAAAUUAAUUCUCCUGCUCAGGCUCCGAAUGUAAAUUCGUUUAUUAAUAAUUUAAAUAGAUUUAUUUAUGCAGUUUGAUAUUUUUCAGGUUCAGGGAAGCGGUUCAUUUUUCUUGCGGUGAUGAUCAGCAGACACCAUCAUUAGGCUCUUCUUCCCCAUCCUCCUCUCCCAGCCCAGCCUAAGGAACAGGGGAAGGAUUGGGGCUGCUGCAUCCUGCAGGCUUUCCAUCAGCUGAUGUCAGGAAUGGGAUCUCAGAGCUCCCCCAGAAGCUCCAGGAGUUGGGUGCCUGCAUUUACUGCUGGGAUUGCAGGCAGCUGGUGGCCCAGGGUGUCUGCACAAUGCAGCCAUUGGGCUGGGAAAGUGGUUUGGUGAAUGUUGAUGUGUUAAUGGCAGCCACAGCAUUUCACUGCCAUCCAGAUAGGGGUGAGCGGCCAACCUGGCUCCAUAGGAUGCCAUGGAACAUUUUAGGCAAGAAUCACAUGGAUUUACUUAGAAUUAAAUGUCCCUGAAAUGAAACCCUCAAUCUGGAAACCCACAGGCUUUGCACCCGUCAUUCAAGCCCACCUCAUGACAGCUCUCUGCACCUGGUUUUCAUCUGUGCAGUGGGUCUGCCCAGCCCUCUGGAUCGGAAUGCCACAAAGCGCAGGGAAUGUUUGACAUUUAGAUCCAUUUCUUUGUGGCUUGGAUCCCCCUGAGAUGAAUGGAGCUUUCUAUCAAUCUGGAUUUGCUUUUCUCCCAACAUUCCCCUGCUGAACCCGUCAGGCUCGUGUGAAUCCCGCCUGGCUUCACGCUCUAUUACAGAGCUGCAAUGCUCUUUCAAAGGCUCACAGCUUUUUACCCCAAACUGCUCUGAAGCUCAUGCAAACCGGGUGGAGUCAAUGUGGUCUCGGCUCCAGGAGGAGCAUUUAUUGCAUCACUGGGUGCAGUGAAGCUGAGGUGCCCUGUGCUGGAGGUCGUUCUUCCGCCUUACACUUGCUUGUGAUGAGAUAGAAGACAUCAGACAGACAGACAGCUCUCAGACAUGCACCUCAGCCUGGCUUUCCCACCAUCCAGCUCUCCUUGCUUGCACGAGGUUUUAGCAUUUCUCUUUUAUCUCAGCCUUGUGAGCUUCAAAGCUGACGUGAAGCCCAGCUGUACCUCGCCGCAGAUGGGAGCGGAGCAGCCCGUGCCUCCCGUGUUCAUCCUGCAGAACUGGAAUUGAUUUAUUUUGGUUGCAGCAGCAAUGACUGCAGUUCCUGGCUGGAUGCAAACCAGGCUCUUCAGAGCCCUGUUAGCAUACCAGCUCUUAGGAAACCCUUCCCAAUGCCACCAUUUUUUUGCUUUUGACUACAAAAGAUCAUGCAAAUAAAAGCCGCUCUCCCUGUUUAUCUGAAUGCCUUUUUCUUUCAGAUGGGAAGCCUGGGGAAGUCUGUGAGCACUGUCCCAUCAGAAAGCAUCAGGAGACAUCUCUGAGCUGUGCCAGUGCUGGUUUAGACAUCCCGGAAUCCUGGAGUUACCAAAGUUGGAAAGGACCUCCAAGAUCAUCCAGUCCAACCUCCACCUACCACCAGUGUUUCCCCAUCCUGAGCUCCUGCUGCCAGAUUGCUCUGUGAGAAAACAGAAAGGAGAUGUUAAAAGGAUUUGAACAGCUCCUGGAGAUGUCCCAACAGAGGCUGAACACAUUUCUAGUGAUAUUUUUUAUUUAAAAAUGCAUCAAGGUUUGGGGGAAUGUGGCAAAGGCAAAGGCGGCAGGAUGGGGAUGGGGA